GGAAAAGCAAGGUAAUGUGCUGAUGCACAGAAAGCACAAGCACACGAACGGUAAGUCCUUUCACAGCCUUCGAAAACCUGCAAGCAGUUUGUGCCGGAAAACCAAAGGUGGGAAGCAGUACAGAGCUGACAAGACUGCAUGGAGAGAAUGGCUGCUACUCACUGAGGCAUCUUCAUUCUGUGAAGAAAAGGAAGGGGUGCUUGCUGGCAAAAUGGAAGACACCUACACAUUGAUGUGCCAGCCCUGGAAGACCGAAAAAAGCACCAAGUCCUACACAGUUCAACAGAAAGAUUAAUGAAGAAAAUCCACGUGAGCUGGGAUUUGAGUGCUACUGUGGCCCUGAAAGAAGUGAUGGUUUGGUUAUUCAGAUUAAUCACCAUUUCCACACUAAACAAAGACCAUCAGGAAGAAAGUGACUUAAGAAAAUAUGAUCACCACAAGUAGCUGUAGAGCAAGAGGUAAUGACAAGCCAGAAAAGAGAUCAUUUUUCACCUACGCAUAUGGAACACCAAAUGAGACUGAUCAAUUGGUUCAAAUAAUCUAUGACAUGCAGAAAAUAAAGCAAACAAAUGAUGAAUA